CCUACGGGAGGCAGCAGUGGGGGAUAUUGCACAAUGGGGGAAACCCUGAUGCAGCGACGCCGCGUGAGUGAAGAAGUAUUUCGGUAUGUAAAGCUCUAUCAGCAGGGAAGAAAAUGACAGUACCUGACCAAGAAGCCCCGGCUAACUACGUGCCAGCAGCCGCGGUAAUACGUAGGGGGCAAGCGUUAUCCGGAUUUACUGGGUGUAAAGGGAGCGUAGACGGUUAUGUAAGUCUGGAGUGAAAGCCCGGGGCCCAACCCCGGGACUGCUUUGGAAACUGUGUAACUGGAGUGCAGGAGGGGCAAGCGGAAUUCCUGGUGUAGCGGUGAAAUGCGUAGAUAUCAGGAGGAACACCGGCGGCGAAGGCGGCCUGCUGGACUGAAACUGACGUUGAGGCUCGAAAGCGUGGGGAGCAAACAGGAUCAGAUACCCUAGUAGUC
rnacentral:rRNA from 1 species